AUUUUUAUAGUUUAAAAAAAACAUUAAAUUGCAAAUUUAAUAAUAUUUAUCAAAAUUAAAAAUU
rnacentral:tRNA from 1 species